rnacentral:sRNA from 1 species
AAGAUGCCUAUUUUGGUCUUAUCAUAUUUCUGUAAAGUUGAUUUGUGACUGAGAGCUGAUGCCGAUAUGCCAUGCUGGAGAAAAAGAACAUUAUGUAAAACGACCUGCAUAGUAAUUCUUAGACUUUUGCAAAAGGCAAAAGGGGUAAAGCGACCUUUUUUUUCU